CCUGUAUUGAAUUUGCUGCGGAAAUGGAUAUCAUUAAAAAAAUUGUGUUUAAAUGAUGUAAAUAGGCAGAAUAGGCACAGCAAUGGACUAUGGACUUCAACAUCUUAACUUUUGAUCCAAGAUUAACCAUCCAGAUAACUUGUUCUGAUGUUCGUGCAAUGAAAGAUGGGGAGACCUCUGCAUCAUCAGAGGAAGACUGAGGAAGAUGACUCAAUUGACUGUUCCAUCAAGGCAUGUGAUAUUUCAAGAAUCAAUGCCACAUCAACCAGUGCAGGGGGUCCUGCAGAUGUUGACAAUGCAUGCAGAUGUUGACAAUGCAUUCUCCUGCUGUCCCAUAAUUAUCAAGGCAAGACCCAGAUACAGACACAGGAGACCCAGAUGCUUGGAGUCUUACAAGGUUUGUUAAUCCAAAGGGGUAGGCAAGAGAAUGGUCGUGGACAGGCAAAAAGGUCAAAACCAGAUCAGAGUCCAGGAGGUACAGUGGCAGACUGGCUCUUGGUCAAGGCAGGAAGAAUGGUCAGGCAGGCGGGUACAAAGUCCGGAAAACAGGCAAGGGUCAAAACCGGGAGGACUAGAAAAAGGAGACUGCAAAAAGCAGACGAAACUAGGACAGAG